UUACAGUGUAAAUAUAAUUACUGUGACAUAGAUUUGCUUUGGUUCACUGAGCUGGCAAUGAGCAAGCUUUACAGCAUUGUAUCUUUUUGUUCUUGCUUAAAUUGCCUUUCUAGUAGGUGGUUGGAGCUAGAACCCAGACCACAGCUGCAGUCCCAAUGUGCUGUUGUAACAGUAUUAGCAUAUAAAGUAGAUAUCAUUGCAGAGUGCAGGGCUGAUUCCUACCGGCCCUAUGCGCUGUGAGUGUAGCGGGAAAGGUCCAUUUCAGUGUGCUUGGCACAGCAGGAACCUGCUGACUUGGCAGUACCUGCAGGAGACUCCGUGCUUUUCAGUGGUGGCUGCUCUACACUCCUGGAUUUUGCCGCCUUGCCAGCAGCACUGGGACCAGAACAAGCAGAGAAGUGUUUUCCAUGGAAAUCUUCUUUCCUAGAUUGAAUGACCCUUAUGCACUGUGUCUUUCCUGGUUGCACAGACAGGUCUGUACCAACAAGUGUUUCUCCUGAAGGAACCUAGAGCAUCUGGACAGGUCUGAGUGGGUCUGGUGUGGAAACGCAGUCCUGGGGAGCUCAGAUACAUGACAGUGCUUAUACAAGUAGUUAACCUAAGAAUAUUGACUACGCCUAUGCAUGUGUUUGCCCUAAUAGCACUGGUCUGAAUCCGAUAUACUUAUUGCCUCCAGAGGAGGCUGGCGGCCAUUUUGUCAGCCCAGAGCUGCUGCUGCAGCUAUGCAGCAGCUUCUUCACUGCUGGUUUCUCUCCAUGUAAACCUUCCUCCCUUACCACAUGUGCCCCCAGGCCCCUGUUUGCCACUCUUUGUCUUUUAGGGGGAAAAAGCCAAGUGUGGGAGGCUGGAUGUUGUUCCCUCUGCUGCCUGAGGGACCCUCUUGUGGCUUCCGGAAGGUUCCACAGAGCUUCCUGUCAGUGCCGUGGGACAGCCAGCGCCUCGCUUAUGACCUGUGGACGAGGGUGCUUCUGUGGCUGUCCAAAAAAAAAGGGAUAAAAAAAUGCUGGAAACAGCACAGCUGGAGAGCACGUAAUACUGCUGAAGAGAUGCAAAGAGAAGAUGCAGUUCUAUUAAGAGAUUUCAUGAGUACGCACAGCUAUGCAGGACAAAAGGACAACUUCUUCAUGAAAAGAAAUACUGUUGCUGGCUCAGACUUGGUGAGAGAAAGAGAUACGGAUACAUUGUAUAUCAGUGGAAGAAGACAUGAGAAGAACAUGCAUGAUGAUUAAUCUUUCCAAAGAGGUCACACAGUUUUUAUUCUGGAGAACUAAUGAAUUUAAGUCAUCAAAAUGGUAAAAGAAGAGCAAUUAAAUGCAGAAAUCUGGUGAAAUUCUGGAAAUCUAAGAUGGAAUUGAUUAAUAAUAAGAGAUAUAGAAGAAGGAUAAAGAAAACUACUGUUUCCUGAUGUAUCUUGUUCCACGUAAAUUGACAUUAAGAUUGAAAUUAACUGCCUUCUGCAUGUCCUUUAUAUUCUGGCUGCCUUCACCCUCCAGAGAAACAUAAGGAGUUUGAAAUCUUAUUUGCUGUUCCUAGUCUAUCGAUGCAUAGGACACCUAAUUAAUAUUGAGGUCAAUAAUACCAUCUGUUGUUCCUCAGGAGUUAAGAUCUAAGAACCUUCCACACACAAGCAUAAACCUCAGCAAAGCACUUUCAGUCUACGCCAUCCAAAAUAAUUUUGAAGUUAUCAGCACUCCCCUAUUUGAUGGAACACCAUCCAUGGGCAAGAGGGUGCAUAUAACUUCAUAUGUAUAUAACAAUGGGGACCUGAAGUACCUCAUAUAGUUACAGCUGAGUUGGGAAGUUGCUGAAUUUCAUUAAAUAUUGACAGAAAUAGAAAUGAACUUUUGUUAUGCAAUAGUUCGAUAACAUAAUCCUUCUGGAAAGAGUCUUUGCAGAUGAAGAGCUUGGAUAUGUUAUGAAAUCAAGGAGAAUUGUGGUGUUCUAUAGGUGAAAAUCAUGAUCUUUACUGAACAUCAUGACAAAAUGUCACACUAUGGUUUGGAACAAGGGUACAGUAGUUAGAAGCUGCCAUUAUGUGAGCAACGCAUAAUCAUGUGCUAUAGCAAUUUCAAAGCUGAGUAGUGGGAUAAAGAGUGGAUAUUGAAAAAUACCUAUCUGGGGAGGCUCUAGAGAUGAGGAAAAAUGAUAGAGACAUAAGCUUGAAAUGAAGAAUAAAGAUGCUAGAGUUGGCA
ensembl:lncRNA